AUUGAACGCUGGCGGCAGGCCUAACACACGCAAGUCGAGCGGAUGAAGGGAGCUUGCUCCUGGCUUCAGCGGCGGACGGGUGAGUAAUGCCUAGGAAUCUGCCUUGUAGUUGGGGAUAACGUCCGGAAACGGGCGCUAAUACCGCAUACGUCCUGAUGUAGAAAGUGGGGGAUCUUCGGACCUCACGCUAUCAGAUGAGCCUAGGUCGGAUUAGCUAGUUGGUGUGGUAAAGGCCUACCAAGGCGACGAUCCGUAACUGGUCUGAGAGGAUGAUCAGGCACACUGGAACUGAGACACGGUCCAGACUCCUACGGGAGGCAGCAGUGGGGAAUCUUGGACAAUGGGCGAAAGCCUGAUCCAGCCAUGCCGCGUGUGUGAAGAAGGUCUUCGGAUUGUAAAGCACUUUAAGUUGGGAGGAAGGGCAGUAAGUUAAUACCUUGCUGUUUUGACGUUACCAACAGAAUAAGCACCGGCUAACUUCGUG
rnacentral:rRNA from 1 species